rnacentral:lncRNA from 1 species
GACACACAAUGCCACUUGUCUAUUUCAGUACUGCUGCUCCAGGCUGGCAUGUGGGAAUUCUCUCCUAACUCUUCAAGUUUUGCCAGCAUAGUGAAGCCGGCAUCUUCUCUAAUCUGAGACCCCCUGCUCCUUCAGGACCUGCCCCACUGGGGACAAGAAUGAACACGCUGUGUUGUAUGACAGUGAACCACCAAGAAAUACAAAGAAUGUGUGUUGAGGAGCCCAGAGUUAACACUGCAUAGAUACCAGGAUACUGUUGAGUAGAAGUGUUGAGAAUGGACUACUUGACUGAGGCUGGAUUUUAAGGAGGAAAGCAUCCAGUCUUUCACCCUUAGGUAUGACAGAGCUGUGCAUUUCUGUAGAUGCCCUUUUCAAGUUGGAGCUUCCCUUCUAUUCCUAGUUUGUAGAGCUCUUUCCACUUCAUAUCAUCUCUUUUUCUUCUAGUUAAAUUUUACUAAAGUUUACUCUAUCAGAUAAAAACCGUAGCCAUGAGAUUCCUUUGAGGUAAGACCUUCUUCAUCUUGGGCUUCCUGCAGGGCUAUUGUGAUAUAACACCCUUAAGAUUCUUAGAAGCUCUUUUUUAAAAAAUUGAAUUUAUCCAUGACGAAUAACCUUAAGAUAUUUGUAGCAAGACUUUUCUUUUUUUUUAAAUAUAUAUAUCUGAAAUA